rnacentral:rRNA from 1 species
GACGAACGCUGGCGGCGUGCUUAACACAUGCAAGUCGAACGAAGUGGCGAACGGGUGAGUAACGCGUAAUCAACCUGCCCUUCAGAGGGGGACAACAGUUGGAAACGACUGCUAAUAACGCAUACUGAAGGCGGGGAUUGCGUCGGAUUAGCUAGUUGGAGGGGUAACGGCCCACCAAGGCGAUGAUCAGUAGCCGGCCUGAGAGGGUGACCGGCCGCAUUGGGACUGGGAUACGGCCCGGACUCCUACGGGAGGCAGCAGUGGGGGUUAUGGCACAAUGGGGUAAAGCCUGAUGCAGCGAGGCCGCGGGGGGGGUGAAUGCUUUCGGGUGGUAAACCUCUUUCGCUAUCGAACGGGUAGGUGGAGAAGAAGCGCCGGCUAACUACGUGCCAGCAGCCGCGGUAAUUC